GCUCCGUUCGUCUAACGGUUAGGACAACUGCCUUUCGAGCAGUAAAUACGAGUUCGAUUCUCGUACGGAGUACAA
rnacentral:tRNA from 1 species